CGAACUCUUCCCGUCUUCUUCAAGUUUUUCCCAAAUUGAGGUAAACGUCAACGAAUCUUAAUCGAAUUUAACCUACAUGGAUAAAAAUAUAAACCAUGGAAAAACAUUGCUUGGAUCUUGUUCCCUGGACCUUGGACUUUUGGUGUGGAUGAUCAGGGCCUACCAAAGCAAUGUUUCUCAAACAACUGUGGGGUGUUUGUUUUGAUGUAUGCUCUGUACAUUUCAAUUGAAGCACAGUGUGAUUUCACUGAGGUAUGUAUAAAUUAUGAAAUUCUCAUCACUAAUGGAUAUGUUUUUUUGGGAUCCCCAUCUGAUUAUUUUUUUAAAGCCUAAUUUGCUGCAUGUUGUCCUAUGGUGGUGCUUGGUUCUCCUGCAGAACUUUCCUAUGCUGUAACAUUAUAAAAACGUUUCAUUUGCAUCCUUAAAAUCAAACGCUUUGCUGUAGCCAGACUGACCUGAAUAUAUGUUCAUAAUGAAUGUAUGUCAUUCACUCACUGAGGUCUGAAGAAGAGGUUGAAAGAUCCAAAAAGGCGGUGAAAACACAAUACAGGUAGUUGUCAUGAUGAGUGGUAUAGUCUUAAACUAAUGUUUAAAGAUGUACCCCCCCCAAAAGAAAUAUAUAUUUCAGGGUGAUGUAGAUUCCCCCCCCAAGAAGUCACAUCAGCAUCCAGCUCUGCAGGAUCAGGUACUCUAUCGGCUCUUAGCUAAAGUAAGGUACAUUCUUGUACACACAUCCCUAGAGGUUCCCUUACAUUACCUAAUGACCACAAUCUGUUUUCUUUCUAGACGAUACUGAAAACAAAAUGCACUGGGGGCUGUGAACUGGGAAGCAGCUGUUCUUCUAAGGAACACCCUAGAGGCAGCAAGGUGGCGCGAACUCUGAACAUUUAAAGGCACUGUUUCCCUCCCCCUAGUGUAAUUGGGAUGGAUGGGGAAGACUGCAUUUACAACCCUUAAAGAACUAUGGUUGUAUGAUGGCCAGGAUGAAGAGGAAACUUAAUAUCCUCAAGGAACCAUUCAUGUUACAGAGAGAUUAUGAGAUGUUUGAUUUAUUUAUUUUUUAUUUUACCUUUAUUUAACCAGGUAGGCAAGUUGAGAACAAGUUCUCAUUUACAAUUGCGACCUGGCCAAGAUAAAGCAAAGCAGUUCGACAGAUACAACGACACAGAGUUACACAUGGAGUAAAACAAACAUACAGUCAAUAACACAGUAUAAACAAGUCUAUAUACAACGUGAGCAAAUGAGGUGAGAAUGGAGGUAAAGGCAAAAAAGGCCAUGGUGGCAAAGUAAAUACAAUAUAGCAAGUAAAACACUGGAAUGGUAGUUUUGCAAUGGAAGAAUGUGCAAAGUAGAAAUAAAAAUAAUGGGGUGCAAAGGAGCAAAAUAAAUUUAAAAUUAAAUACAGUUGGGAAAGAGGUAGUUGUUUGGGCUAAAUUAUAGGUGGGCUAUGUACAGGUGCAGUAAUCUGUGAGCUGCUCUGACAGUUGGUGCGUAAAGCUAGUGCGGGAGAUAAGUGUUUCCAGUUUCAGAGAUUUUUGUAGUUCGUUCCAGUCAUUGGCAGCAGAGAACUGGAAGGAGAGGCGGCCAAAGAAAGAAUUGGUUUUGGGGGUGACUAGAUAUACCUGCUGGAGCGUGUGCUACAGGUGGGAGAUGCUAUGGUGACCAGCGAGCUGAGAUAAGGGGGG
ensembl:lncRNA